ACUCCAUCUAUGACACAGUAGUCCAAAAGAGAGAGCUAGAGAAAGAGAAGCUACAGAAAGAGUGAAAGUUUUUAUAAAUGGAGAGAGAGAGAGAGAGAGAGAGAGAGUCACGAGGAUUAUAUUCCUCUACCCGUAAGACAUGCAUGGCUCUCGUGCUUUUUCUUUGUCCAAUUAAUCUUUAUAUCUUUAUAAGAUCUCUUCUUCUUCUUCUUCUUCUGUUUUCUUUUAGUUUCAAGAAAGACUCGACCUGACCUGACCUCACCUGCAAAUUCUAUCCAAACCCAUUUUGAUGUUAUGGAUUAAAUCGAUUGAUUCUAACCAACGAUCAUUUUCUUGUUUGAUAUGUUGGUUUGAGAGGUUGAAGCUGCCAGCAUGAUCUGGUCAUCUUGCAGCUUCAAUCACUCAAUCAUCAACAAUGAAAGAAUAUCUGAAACAAUGCUUAUGAACCUUCAGGUAAUUGAUUCUUUUAUUUAUCUAGAUUUAGUACUAAAUUGCUUAAUUUUUUCAUUCAAUCUCUUUAUUUUUCAUCUAAUAUUGAGCAAUUAUAUACAUAUGAAGACAACACUAUACUGCCUAUCCAAGUCAAAGCCCUCUCUGUGAAGUUAGUUCUUAACCUACCCAUUAAAUCCAGCUAUAUAUGUCUUUUAUGUCAACUUAAAAAUGUCAAGAGAGAGAAUGUUAUUUAUUAUUUAUUUUUCUUGGCUUGGUUGGUAAUUAAUAUCUAGAAUCAAUAAAUUCACAAGUCAAAAGAAAGACAUGUAUGCUAUACCUAAUUUAUUUCAGACAAUGUAUUUUGCUAUUGUAAUAAAUUUAUAAUAAUUUUUUAUGGUCAUAUAUCCAAUUCCAGGCUUAUAAAAAUGUUCUGAUUAAACAAAGGUGUGAAACCAGUUGAACAGUAGACAAAAGAUGCUAUGUUAAUUGUAUAUAAGGCAAAAUGUCUAAGUUUGAUGGUUCAUGGCCCACCAUUUAUUAAUUAAUUAACAUUUCUGAUUAGACCAUUAGCACUGGAAGAUUGUUUAAAAUGCAUAAGCAUUUGUUGGAUCCAUUGUUGGCAUUUUCUCUGUUUGUUUGUACUAAACAAAUUCUUAAUCCAACAAUAAUUAUUAAUUAGUCACUUUAACUGUCACCCUUUUUACCUAUCUAUCCAUCCUUAGCACCACAUUAGUGAUUAUGUUUUAUAUUUUCGUUUGUGUUAUCUAUUGUUCCUAGAGAUAAUGCAAUGCAUCAUAAAUAAGUUUUAUAAAAUUCAAAUUAACUUGGUCUAAUGGUUGAAAUACACUAGAUUCAUUAUAGUGAUCGCAAGAUCAAGUAUUACUCUCGAGACUAAAAUGAAUUAAUUUCUCGUCUAACAGUGAAAUAUAUACAUAGAUGUAUUGAGAUUUUAUCGUGGACAUAUACAUUUGUGCAUACACAUAUUAAUCAGCUGUCAUAAAUGUCUGUUUGUUUCGGUAAGAGACAAGCAUGUAUAUAGCUAGCUUUUCUGGCUUAUUUUGUUAUAUAGGGGAACCACAAGCUUUAAGGCUCUUCUUUUCUUGGAAGGACACUUCCAGUUAUGAUUUCUUGGCUACUUCCAAAUUUGGCCAAGAACUGAGACAACAAAUGUGAACUACCUAUUGUUCUUGUUCAUAACACUUGAGACUUACAUAUAUAAUUUCUAGUUAUAUGAGAAAGUCUCCUUCUUUUUGUACACACCAUCUAUUGAAUGACCUUUUCAGAAUGUAUAUAUUGAAUGAUAAUUAGCUCUCGAGUGUUGAUUUAAAAAAUCAAAUUCUUUUUAACAAAAUGAGAAGCAAAUUCACUUUAGCAAACCAUUAAGGUUUUUGUAUAUAUAAGUUUGUUCUUGGAUGUUAUAUAGAGGAAUUACAUCUCUUACUUGUAGUAUAUAAGAGGAAGUAAUUUGAUUUUGAAUU